AUACUCACCUGGUAGGGGAAACACUAUGACCACUAAGGUGGUUUUCCUACUAGCAGGGGAAGACCACUUUCUUUGUAGGGGGUAGUACCUUGACCAAGGUAAGUAUAGUUAGCCUCCCACUUUCACUUCCAGUGGGAAGAUCUUAGCUAUACGCUGACUUUAUGGAAAUGGGAGACUCCUCCCUAGCUUGCUCCUG
rnacentral:snRNA from 14 species